rnacentral:rRNA from 1 species
GACGAACGCUGGCGGCGUGCUUAACACAUGCAAGUCGUACGGUAAGGCCCUUUCGGGGGUACACGAGUGGCGAACGGGUGAGUAACACGUGAGUAACCUGCCCACAACUUUGGGAUAACGCUAGGAAACUGGUGCUAAUACUGGAUAUGUGCUCCUGCUGCAUGGUGGGGGUUGGAAAGCUCCGGCGGUUGUGGAUGGAUUCGCGGCCUAUCAGCUUGUUGGUGGGGUAGUGGCCUACCAAGGCGGCGACGGGUAGCCGGCCUGAGAGGGUGACCGGCCACAUUGGGACUGAGAUACGGCCCAGACUCCUACGGGAGGCAGCAGUGGGGAAUAUUGCACAAUGGGCGCAAGCCUGAUGCAGCAACGCCGCGUGCGGGAGGACGGCCUUCGGGUUGUAAACCGCUUUCAGCAGGGACGAAGCUUUUUGUGACGGUACCUGCAGAAGAAGCACCGGCUAACUACGUG